rnacentral:rRNA from 1 species
GGACCUAAGCUGAGGCCGAAAGGCGUAGGUGAUGGACAACAGGUUGAUAUUCCUGUACUACCGAUAACCGUUUGAGAGAAGGGAUGACACAGUAGGAUAAGCUAAGCACACUGUUGGUUAUGUGUGCCCAAGCAUUGAGGCAGUCAAAGUAGGCAAAUCCGCUUUGAUAAUACUGGGAUGUGAUGGGGAGCGAAAUUUAGUAGCGAAGUAGCUGAUUUCACACUGUCAAGAAAAGUCUCUAUCGAGGUUAAAGGUACCCGUACCGCAAACCGACACA